ACGUGCCCCACGGUUUUAUUUUAGUCUAGUCUAUGCAUAUGUUUAUAAUUCCCACGACUGUAUCUAUUUUAUUAUUUUUUGGUUUUUAGUACAUUUAUCUUAAACAUUGCAAUGUAUGUUUAACAUAAAACCGUUUAACUUAAAAAAGUUUUUUUACCUAUUUUUAUUUUGAAGCGGAUUUAAAUUGAAUUAUGAUUUAUGUCUUUUUUUUUUUUUUUUUAUUUGUUUUUUUUUUUUUUUUUUUUUUUUUUUUUUUUUUUUUUUUUUUUUUUUUUUUUUUUUUUUUUUUUUUUUUUUUUUCUCUAGACCCCCACAC
rnacentral:misc_RNA from 1 species